rnacentral:rRNA from 1 species
UAGGGUAAGUAAAGUGGCGCACGGGUGAGUAACGCGUGGGUAAUCUACCUUCGAAUUGGGGAUAACGUUGCGAAAGCGACGCUAAUACCGAAUAACAUCCAUUGAUCUUUGGAUUUUUGGAUCAAAGGUGGCCUCUACAGGUAAGCUACUGUUUGAAGAUGAGCCCGCGUACCAUUAGCUUGUUGGUGGGGUAAUGGCCUACCAAGGCAACGAUGGUUAGCUGGUCUGAGAGGAUGAUCAGCCACACUGGAACUGACACACGGUCCAGACUCCUACGGGAGGCAGCAGUGAGGAAUUUUGCGCAAUGGGCGAAAGCCUGACGCAGCAACGCCGCGUGAGUGAUGAAGGCCUUCGGGUCGUAAAGCUCUGUCAAGUGGGAAGAACCUGCAGUAUGUCAAUACCAUAUUGCAUUGACGGUACCACUGAAGGAAGCACCGGCUAACUCCGUGCCAGCAGCCGCGGUAAUACGGGGGGUGCAAGCGUUAUUCGGAAUCAUUGGGCGUAAAGGGCACGUAGGCGGCUUGGUAAGUCAGUUGUGAAAGCCCGGGGCUUAACCCCGGAAGUGCGAUUGAUACUGCCGAGCUUGAGUAUGGGAGAGGGAAGUGGAAUUCCUGGUGUAGAGGUGAAAUUCGUAGAUAUCAGGAGGAACACCGGUGGCGAAGGCGACUUCCUGGACCAAUACUGACGCUGAGGUGCGAAGGCGUGGGUAGCAAACAGGAUUAGAUACCCUGGUAGUCCACGCAGUAAACGU